CACAUUAUUGAAAACAAGUUGCUAAAAGUAAACACGUAUACGGUUUUGCACUCCGAGCCCAAAGGGCAUCGCAUUGAAUUGAGACUAUAGAAGGCUUAAAAACGUGACAACAGUUUUGUUGUAUGGUCCAGUAUGCCCUUCGACUCAUCCCGAAGUUAAUCAGAACUCAAACUCGGCCCUUAACAAUAUCCGCGAGGCCAGCAUAUCAGCUCAGCUUCUGAGCUUCAGCAAACACUUUAAGCCGCCAAGAUAAAAACAUCGUUGAAGUGAAAGUAGAUGACUAUCCUGACCCCUUCGCUUAAGUAAUUCAGCACAAAAACGCCUUGCGUCAGAGUAGCAAACCUCCAAACAUCUUCUCCCAUGUUGGCUUCAUCAACACUUCUUACAGCGGAGCCUUGACGAGUUUGACUUCCAUCCCAGCAUCGACUUGUUCCUUAUUGCGACUGACCUCGAUAAGUUGCUCUCGAAUAAUGUGAACCUUAUGCCAGUAUGUGAUUGACGCCAUUUAACAACAGUUGCUGUUGAGAAUUCCCGGGUUUGAGGUGGCAACUUUGGCGUCAGAACUCUCUCCAUCUCUGUCUAUGGCCCGGUCAAAGCAGCAGCAGCAGCAAUAAGAACAACAAGUAGUAUCUGAGAGGUGCUCUUCUGGGAUACGGGGCUUCAUGUAUGUGCUUAAAGUGUCAUCCCAGAAUAGCCUGUGCAGAUUGCACAUACAUCAAGUCCUAUUAAAGUGUCAUCCCAGAUUAGCCUGUGCAGACUGCACAUACAUUAAGUCCUAUUAAAGUGUCAUCCCAGAUUAGCCUGUGCAGACUGCACAUACAUAAUGUCCUAUUAAAGUGUCAUCCCAGAUUAGCCUGUGCAGACUGCACAUACAUUAAGUCCUAUUUAAGUGACAUCCCAGAUUAGCCUGUGCAGACUGCACAUACAUCAAGUCCUAUUAAAGUGUCAUCCCAGAUUAGCCUGUGCAGACUGCACAUACAUUAAUUCCUAUUAAAGUGUCAUCCCAGAUUAGCCUGUGCAGACUGCACAUACAUUAAGUCCUAUUAAAGUGUCAUCCCAGAAUAUCCUGUGCAGACUGCGCAUACAUUAAGCCCUAUUAAAGUGUCAUCCCAGAUUAGCCUGUGCAGACUGCACAUACAUUAAUUUCCAUUAAAGUGUCAUCCCAGAUUAGCCUGUGCAGACUGCACAUACAUCAAGUCCUAUUAAAGUGUCAUCCCAGAUUAGCCUGUGCAGACUGCACAUACAUUAAGUCCUAUUAAAGUGUCAUCCCAGAUUAGCCUGUGCAGACUGCACAUACAUUAAGUCCUAUUAAAGUGUCAUCCCAGAAUAUCCUGUGCAGACUGCGCAUACAUUAAGCCCUAUUAAAGUGUCAUCCCAGAUUAGCCUGUGCAGACUGCACAUACAUUAAGCCCUAUUAAAGUGUCAUCCCAGAUUAGCCUGUGCAGACUGCGCAUACAUCAAGUCCUAUUUAUCUGAGAAUGAGGCUCAUAUAGUUCACUUAACGUCAGUCCUUUUUCUGGCUGAUUAAGGAAAAGUUCCUAGCAUAAAAUGUGAAUUCUUUGAUUUUAAAUUUAUCAAACUUGGUAAAUAAAUAGCAAAUAAAAGUAAAUCUGAUAUCAGUUUUAAUCAUAGGUCAGGGCAUAGUUGUGCCCAUUUUUCUGCUGAAAUUUAGCCCUUGAACAACAGUUUCUCCUUGCAAUAAAUAAAUCCACUUUAAUUAUUAAAUUCUAUUAAAUUUAAGUAAAACAAUUAUUUAAUGCCUCCAGCACAUUUUUAUAAAAUUAUUAUCUUCAUUUAUUUUCAAUAUUUAUUUUAAUUGCCAAAUUUUGUUUUAAGAGCUAGUUCCUAGCAAUCAUAGGUCGGUACCCUGCUGAAAAACAUGAUCUCUGGUCAGCUGGGCCCAGAUGCCCAGCAACACUUCCUAGCCCAGGACCUUGGGGCAAAUGCUCAACAUGUCCUAUCUGCAUGGUGAAGCCAGUCUAAUUCUUGGGCUCCAAACUCUCCUGCUGUGGGGCCGAGAUUACCUCAUCCAUAAGGGACACAUUUCUAGGAUGCGCCAAGGUCCUUUUAUCUGUUCACAGAGGCCUUAUACUCACAAGUUCAGGCCCAGAGAACGGCGUUCCCCAACUACAACACAACCAGUACGUCUCAAUAAAGGACACCCUUCCUGAAAACCUCGCUGAGUGCGACUGCGCCAUACGUGACCCUUAAGUGAAAUGAGAUUCCAGGCUGAAUGUCAAACCGGUACUACUCAGGUCUCCAGCAAUAGCCUCAGCCUUGGACGCAGGUUCAUGAUGCACCCGUGGCCUUACUUAUUUCUGAACAUCUCAAUCUCACAGCAAUUGAUGUGAAUUAAUGAUAAUAAGACUCCACAAACCACGUUUUGUAGAGGGUAUAUUGGAGUCAAUUUUCUGUUAGUUGUUUAGUCAAUGCGGCAUUUUUUGCAUAUAUUAUAAAAAGAUUUGUAUCAAAUCUAAAUUUCUCAAAGGAUUAAAUUGGAACUUAAAUUGUAUGAAACCAUUGAACAGUAAGUGAUAAGUGGUGAUUUUUUUUGCAUGCAAAGCCCCAUCGUUUCAUUGGCCAAAUCACUCUUUUACCCAGUAUUAUUUUACUUUCAGUAUCUCACCAUACAUGGGAAAUCAGAAGAUAUGAAACUUAUAUUCUAAUCAGGGUUUUAACUAACAUUUUGCCCACAUUUGCGCUGUAACCUAUAUGCAAUUCUGGGUUAUAACUAACAUUGUGUCCACAGUUGCGCAAAGUUGUUUGAAUAUUUUUGUUUAAAGAAAAGAAUAAAGCAUUCGUAUAACUUGUAAUCAAUAGUGUUCGAUGAAGGAACAAUCAUUUUGAAAAUGACCAAUACUCCAGAAUACAUGUAUAUUUGUCUUUUGACUGAUCUUGGUCAGUGUCUAGCAGUAUCCUUACGACCAAGCCACGUCGCCAAAGCAGCAGUCAAGUAAUUUGUCUUCCACGUUUGAGCUUCCUAUUUGCCACGGUCUGUUGCAAAGUCCACUCAACAUGGAUUGUUUUAAUAAAACAAAUGGAUUUUAAGAAGAUAUUUGCUGAUUCCUGUGUAUGAUCUUAAUUGUAUAUGAAACAAUACAUGAACAACACUGACGCAUAUGAAAGGUAGCUAAUACAAGUAUUCAUGCACAAAUUAAAGUAUGAAUUUCUUUAUAAUUUUUAGUCAUUAUCAAAAAUUCAUUUCCAAACAUAUUUAAGCAUAUCGAUAUUGUUAUGCCGUAUAACAAAAUAAAACAAAGGGUUCAUUCAAAAUUUCUAAUUUUACUUUCAAUUUCAGUUUCAUUAUUAUUUUUAUUACAACAAAAGCAUAUAUCCAAAAAAUAUCAUAUACAAUCAAUAAUAAAAUAUUCGUACCUGCAUCUUAUUCUGUAUCAUAAUCUUUUUCUUGUGUAAAUAAUCUAUCUAACCGGAUGUUUUUCGUUUAAAUCUGUAUUCCAAACUGAAACUUGUUUACUUUCGAAUCCGCUAUUUAUACUUUUUCAGGCAUGACGUCACUGACAAGUGACGACCGUUAAAGUAAAAUAUAUACCAAUGAACGUUGAGGGUCGCCCAAAACCACCCGGUGCCUUGCGAUGAAAACCUCCAACGGGACUGUGACCUUGCCCUUGUACACACCUAAUGGUCAGGUAUAAGGUCACUUGGGCUUAGAUAGUCACUGCAGUAAGAACAUGUAAGGUUUAAAAGGACAUCCGAGACUGCAAUGACGAAAUGAGUGUCCUCACUUCAGCAGUGGAGGCCAAUACACAAUACGAGAGUUUCCAGCGGCUUACCUUAUCUGAAAACCUGGGUUGCAGAGCAAUGAGUAUGUCCCAGGAGCAUUUGCAGUCAUCUUCUCCAGAUUAUGAGAUCCCCAUGCUCCACAACCCUCAGUCUAUGAACAGCAUGCAGAGCGAACCUUGGACGUACCUUGACGAAAUCAAACCAGCAAAUCAGAAGGACAGCCUGCUGCUACCGUUGUUAUCAUAUUAACCCCAUACCGAAAAAGCUCAGAGAUAUAAAGGCUGUUUAAGAUGUGCUUGUCUCUACAUACCCCGUGUCUGGUGUGAACAUGUACAAUUGAAUGUCUCUACAUACUCCAUGUCUGCUGUGAACAUGUACAAUUGAAGGUCUCUACAUACUCCAUGUCUGGUGUGAACAUGUACAAUUGAAGAUCUCUACAUACUCCAUGUCUGGUGUGAACAUGUACAAUUGAAGGUCUCUACAUACCUCAUGUCUGGUGUGAACAUGUACAAUUGAAGGUCUCUACAUACCUCAUGUCUGGUGUGAACAUAUACAAUUGAAGGUCUCUACAUACUCCAUGUCUGGUGUGAACAUGUACAAUUGCAGGUCUCUGCAUGCCCCAUGUUGGGUGUGAACAUGUACAAUUGAAGGUCUCUACAUACUCCAUGUCUGGUGUGAACAUGUACAAUUGAAGGUCUCUGCAUACCCCAUGUUGGGUGUGAACAUGUACAAUUGAAGGUCUCUACAUACCCCAUGUUGGGUGUGAACAUGUACAAUUGAAGGUCUCUGCAUACCCCAUGUUGGGUGUGAACAUGUACAAUUGAAGGUCUCUACAUACCCCAUGUCUGGUGAAAAUAUGUACAAUUGAAGGUCUCUACAUACCUCAUGUCUGGUGUGAACGUGUACAAUUAAAGGUCUCUACAUACCCCAUGUCUGGUGUGAACAUGUACAAUUGAAUGUCUCAUCUUUGGAAUUGGGACACGUGGAAAAUUAGUGAUUUGAUUCAGACAGAAAUCGCAUAGUGACAAAUCACAACAAAAAAUGGAAAGCAAGAAAGUCUUGUGGCCAGCAAUGUUUUUAUGUGACCACUAAGUUGUGUUCAAAGAAAAACAAUCGUUCAUGUUUUAUUGGAACUAUGAUGCUGUCAGUCAUUUUAUGUUGAAGGCUUUAAAUAACUAUAUUUAAAUAUAAUAAGAUUAAGAUUACUUGAUAAAAGAAAUAAUGUUAUAUAGUAUUUUAAGCGCAAAAUUUACAAGUCUAUCCAAUUACUGUGUCUGUUUUAUGACAUUUUAUUUUGGAAAUGUUAAGGAAAAUAUAAUGUUAGUAAAUAUAUGUCUAUGAAUGUUGAUUUUGACAUUUGUCAAAGCUGUUUAAAUGAUGCUGGUAACUUCGACAAAAUUUAAAGAAAUGUAUUAUUUUCAUGUAAUGAGACAUGCUUCAGUUUUUUGUGGCUUAACCUGUAAUAUAGAGGUGGUAGUUACAAGAAUUGUUUAGCCAGAUGGAGAAUGUUUAUGCUAUGGCUUUGAUACUCUUAAGUGUGCCCAUUGGUGUCAGGUUUUUAUCAAGAAUAUUGUUUAUUGUCUAACAAUUUCUUGAAAAUAUUGAUUAAUUUUAGACAAAAUCAUUUAAUCUUCCUUAAAUUGUCUAUUCUGUAUUCACGACCAGUUAUUUAUUAAUUUGCAUGAAUAUGAUUUAUGAAUGACUUUUGUGUUGCUUAAAAUGCUUUAUUUGUUUUGGAACUGAGUAUUUAAAAA